UGGUAGAACAAUUUACAAAUGUUGAAUUGCGCAAAUGCGAAUGUCGAACUAACAUCGGACGGAUUACCAAUACAAAUUUACCACAACUUGCAUAGAUUUAACAAACUACAAUGUGCAAAUGCUCAACUACGGAUGACGAAGAUCCAAUUUCAAAUUUACAUUGAAUAAAUAAUGCAUUCACUUGUUACGCAUCUACACAAACAUAUAUUCCAUUUACAUAUUGAAACGUUCCGCACCGAGACCAAUUGUAAAAUUACUAUAAUUAAUGGUCUCGAUGGUUUCAAAGUGUGUGAGCCCUUCUGUACCUGGCUGAAAUCAAGUAAUGACAAAGAGGAUUAAAAGUUCCUAUAAAAUUUAUUAAGGUUAAGAGAAAAACACAAAGUCAAAAUAUGUUCUGUAAAUUCCAUGGGUUGAUCUCGGGGUUGACCUUCUCCUAUCUUGGGGGUGCUGACCGGAUAUUCCCUCAAAUACACAGAAUGUAUGAAGGUGCUGACUACUAUUAGAAGGUACACUGAGUGUAUGAAGGUGUUGACUUCUUUUAGAAGGUACACUGAGUGUAUGAAGGUGUUGACUUCUUUUAGAAGGUACACUGAGUGUAUGAAGGUGUUGACUUCUAUUAGAAGGUACACUGAGUGUAUGAAGGUGUUGACUUCUUUUAGAAGGUACACUGAGUGUAUGAAGGUGUUGACUACUAUUAGAAGGUGCAAAACAUUGACCAACAGGUUGAUAACCUUCUGUGUAAACCAACAAUUCUAAGUAGACGGCUAUUAAAUAAGUCCUUAAUAGAUAUCAAUCAAUUCCAGAGAAGGUGUUGAAUAUUCUGUGGAGAAGGUGUAGUAAAUAAGGGGAUGGUGAUGAUGAUGCUGAUGCAGAAGGGUGAUGCUAAUUAAGAUGUUUCAUGAAUGAAACAUAAUAACAAAUAUUUCCAACUAAACAAUAAGGUGUUAAAUAUGUACCUUCUGACUGGGGAUGUCGGGCUGAAAAAGUUGUUGUUGACUCAUCUCUGGGGAUGCGGUGACCGAAGUGCUGUAAUCCAGUCGGGUUCGGCAAUAUAUAGCCUGUUGACGUCACGUGACCCUGAUCUCAUAAUUAUUCAUGAAGUAAAAUGGCUGUCUGCAGAGUAAACCGUGCAAAUAUACUCUGCAGAGAAAACGGCUGAUACGGAUUAUCGCCGAUAUUUAACAUCAUCAAGAGAGUAAAAUGUUGUGUAAGAGAAAGAGCACGGUAUGACAGAAAGUGUUCACUUGAGAUAUUUCUGUUCUAGGAUUUUAAAGAAGACUCGCAGUGGUGCCAUGAUAUGAACAUGAUUGUUCGCGCGUUGAAAGCAGCUUCAUUCAUGGCUGCGAUGGCUGUUGCCUGGAAACAACAGGCUAUCAUCAACAUAAAGUAUUUGGGCCUGUAGCUCUUUCUUCAUUUCUUGGUUCCCAAUAUAUGGAUGAAAGAUUCUCGAGAGGGACAUUAAACAAUAUACAAUCAAUCAAUCAAUCAAUGGCUCCCAAUAUCAAAGUCAUCGUAUGAAUUUAUCAUGUUACAGAAGUUGCCGUUUUUUGUCCUAAUUGCAGACGGUAUUUAAAAUGAAACAACUCAACGGAAGGUUUAAUGUUUUGUUUAUUGCUGAAAUUCUUGUCUGUUUAGAAAAUAAACUCUGUAUAAAUAU